AACGAACGUUGGCGGCGUGGAUUAGGCAUGCAAGUCGCGGGAAUCCCAGCAAUGGGGGAACCGGCGUAAGGGGCAGUAAUGCGUGGGUACCUACCUUGUGGUCCGGGAUAGCCGUCCGAGAGGGCGGGUAAUACCGGAUGAUCUCGAGAGAGCAAAGCUCCGGCGCCCUGAGAGGGGCCCACGUGAUAUUAGCUAGUUGGUGAGGUGACGGCUCACCAAGGCGGAGAUGUCUAGCGGGUGUGAGAGCACGACCCGCGCCACUCGCACUGAGACACUGGCGAGACACCUACGGGUGGCUGCAGUCGAGGAUCUUCGGCAAUGCGCGCAAGCGCGACCGAGCGACGCCGCGUGGGCGAUGAAGGCCU
rnacentral:rRNA from 1 species